rnacentral:rRNA from 1 species
AGAGUUUGAUCCUGGCUCAGAUUGAACGCUGGCGGCAUGCCUUACACAUGCAAGUCGAACGGCAGCACGGGAGCUUGCUCCUGGUGGCGAGUGGCGAACGGGUGAGUAAUACAUCGGAACGUACCCUGAAGUGGGGGAUAACGUAGCGAAAGUUACGCUAAUACCGCAUAUUCUGUGAGCAGGAAAGAGGGGGAUCGCAAGACCUCUUGCUUUAGGAGCGGCCGAUGUCGGAUUAGCUAGUUGGUGAGGUAAAGGCUCACCAAGGCGACGAUCCGUAGCGGGUCUGAGAGGAUGAUCCGCCACACUGGGACUGAGACACGGGCCCGACUCCUACGGGAGGCAGCAGUGAGGAAUAUUGGUCAAUGGACGGAAGUCUGAACCAGCCAUGCCGCGUGAAGGAUGAAGGCGUUCUGCGUUGUAAACUUCUUUUAUUUAGGAAGAAACCACCGAUUUCUAUUGGUGUUGACGGUAUUAAAUGAAUAAGCACCGGCUAACUCCGUG